rnacentral:rRNA from 1 species
GACGAACGCUGGCGGCGUGCUUAACACAUGCAAGUCGAACGGAAAGGCCCUGCUUUUGUGGGGUGCUCGAGUGGCGAACGGGUGAGUAACACGUGAGUAACCUGCCCUUGACUUUGAGAUAACUUCAGGAAACUGGGGCUAAUACCGGAUAGGAGCUCCUGCUGCAUGGUGGGGGUUGGAAAGUUUCGGCGGUUGGGGAUGGACUCGCGGCUUAUCAGCUUGUUGGUGGGGUAGUGGCUUACCAAGGCUUUGACGGGUAGCCGGCCUGAGAGGGUGACCGGCCACAUUGGGACUGAGAUGCGGCCCAGACUCCUACGGGAGGCAGCAGUGGGGAAUAUUGCACAAUGGGCGGAAGCCUGAUGCAGCAACGCCGCGUGCGGGAUGACGGCCUUCGGGUUGUAAACCGCUUUCGCCUGUGACGAAGCGUGAGUGACGGUAAUGGGUAAAGAAGCACCGGCUAACUACGUG